AGUCAGCUGGGCCGCCUCAGCUCUCGGAGUAGGAAGCUCGGGCGCUCCGGCUGUAAGG
rnacentral:miRNA from 1 species